GAUGGUCUUUUCCUACCAAUCUACCCCCCUAGGAGCAUGCACGUAAUGCUUGGUUUUUGAUGACUUGUAGAUUUUUGCAAUAAGUAUGUGAGUUCUUUAUGACUAAUGUUGAGUCCAUGGAUUAUAUGCACUCUCACCUUCCCAUCAUUGCUAGCCUCUUCGGUACCGUGCAUUGCCCUUUCUCACCUUGAGAGUUGGUGCAAACUUCGCC
rnacentral:rRNA from 1 species